GCGCUCGUAGCUCAGCUGGAUAGAGCGAACCCCUCCUAAGGGUUAGGCCGCAGGUUCGACUCCUGCCGGGCGCACCA
rnacentral:tRNA from 1 species